AUGGGUAAAUUGAACAUCAAAAUUAAAAGUUGUACAUCAGCUAAACAUUCGCUAUAUUAAGACCAUGCAUGUGUCCCCAGACCUAGUUCUUGCCCUAGGUCUGGUUUUCUAAAUGCUGGUGAUAAGC